rnacentral:rRNA from 1 species
UGCAGUCGAACGAACCUUCGGGUUAGUGGCGGACGGGUGAGUAACGCGUGAGAAUCUGCCCUCAGGAGGGGGAUAACGGCUGGAAACGGCCGCUAAUACCCCAUAUGCCGCGAGGUGAAAUGAAUUUCGCCUGAGGAUGAGCUCGCGUCUGAUUAGCUAGUUGGCGGGGUAAAGGCCUACCAAGGCAUCGAUCAGUAGCUGGUCUGAGAGGAUGAUCAGCCACACUGGGACUGAGACACGGCCCAGACUCCUACGGGAGGCAGCAGUGGGGAAUUUUCCGCAGUGGGCGAAAGCCUGACGGAGCAACGCCGCGUGAGGGAUGAAGGCCUCCGGGCUGUAAACCUCUUUUAUCAAGGAAGAAGAUCUGACGGUACUUGAUGAAUAAGCCACGGCUAAUUCCGUGCCAGCAGCCGCGGUAAUACGGGAGUGGCAAGCGUUAUCCGGAAUUAUUGGGCGUAAAGCGUCCGCAGGCGGCCCUUCAAGUCUGCUGUUAAAAAGUGGAGCUUAACUCCAUCAUGGCAGUGGAAACUGUUGGCUUGAGUGUGGUAGGGGCAGAGGGAAUUCCCGGUGUAGCGGUGAAAUGCGUAUAUAUCGGGAAGAACACCAGUGGCGAAGGCGCUCUGCUGGGCCAUCACUGACGCUCAUGGACGAAAGCCAGGGGAGCGAAAGGGAUUAGAUACCCCUGUAGUCCUGGCCGUAAACGAUGAACACUAGGUGUCGGGGGAAUCGACCCCCUCGGUGUCGUACCAACGCGUUASGUGUUCCGCCUGGGGAGUACGCACGCAAGUGUGAAACUCAAAGGAAUUGACGGGGGCC